ACGUGUACAGCGAUGGGACUCUCCGUUCCUCGAGAGCCAGGCCCACCCUUUGGUUAGCCCCUAAUCGCGCUGCUCUUAGUCUGCCUCCUAGCGGCCUUAACUUUGUUUUUCCCGAUUUGUUACUGCACUCCCCCUCCCCCAUUUUAAAUCUCGAUUUAAGGGAGCCGGCCUGCAAGAUUAAGAAAAGCCGUUUGCAAACUCAUAUUUACGAAAGUAUAUUUUUUAUAACCUUUAUUUUUUAAAGUGAACAUCUUGUUUUCCUGUGAAAGCUUUCUGCGGUCAAUGAUCUAAAAAAAGGAUUGUAAGGAUGCUAUUUUAAAGAUCUCUGUUUUCCUUCCAGUGACCCACAGAUUUGGAGCUGCACCCGGGACCAACAAGGAUUUCUGUUCUUUGAAACUUUCCAGGAAACUGAAGACUUCAUACAGAGGUGCCUAUUACUGUCUUGAGAGAAGAGAGUGAACUGGAUGAGACCAGGAUAGCAACAGAAGAGGAUCUGCAUAGGAGGACAGCAGAAUGUGUAGUGUGACAAACUACAAGUCCUCAGUUGGCUUUGCCAUUAAAUGUACGCCAAAUACCAGGGUCAUCUGUGACAGAGAAAAGAUCCAAGAUAUUAACCAUAAUACAGUUGUCAUGUCAUCUUCCAUCCAGUGGCUGUGUUCUUUUGCCUAUUUUAACCUUUUCUUUUUAUUUGCUAGUUCCAUAUAUGACUUUUUCUUUGGACCUGUGCCUCUAAGGUCAGCAUGUCGGAAUCAUUUUUUCGCUGCAGUAAUAGCCAUUACAAACACAAGUAAUGUCUUGGCUAUGUUUUUCAGUCAAUUUAAUGGUAUCUCAAUGGAAAAACAUAUCUAUUUCUAUUAAUAUAAAUUCUGUAAAGUUCUCGUCUCCUAAUAAAAGUGGGUUUAGAUGCCAUUUGCGAGAUGAGUAUGUGGGGCAUAAUGAUUUUAGCUUCAAGAUCAGAGAGGCAUGGUCGGAAAU